rnacentral:rRNA from 1 species
AGUUGCCUACGGGGCGCAGCAGUGGGGGAUAUUGCACAAUGGGGGAAACCCUGAUGCAGCGACGCCGCGUGGGUGAAGAAGCGCCUCGGCGCGUAAAGCCCUGUCAGCAGGGAAGAAAAUGACGGUACCUGAAGAAGAAGCCCCGGCUAACUACGUGCCAGCAGCCGCGGUAAUACGUAGGGGGCAAGCGUUAUCCGGAUUUACUGGGUGUAAAGGGGACGCAGACGGCGAUGCAAGCCAGGAGUGAAAGCCCGGGGCCCAACCCCGGGACUGCUCUUGGAACUGCGUGGCCAGAGUGCAGGGGG